CCGGCCCCCAAAUUGAGGAAUUUUGAAUAUGCAAUGCAUAUGUGAUAAUAUUACUAUUUCAGUGUUAACUUUCUUGAGUGCAUUAAUAGUACUGUGGUUGUGUAGGAAAAUGACCUCGUUUUUGGGAGAUUCAUGCUGAAAGGGUGAAGCGUCGUAAUGUCUUUCAGAUGAUUCAUCCAAAUAGUUGCAGGUCCUUCUAGUUGUGGGAUGUGGGAUGCUGCCUCAAUGUGGCCUGACGAGCGGUGCCAUGUCCACGCCCAGGAUCCGAAUCCUGGGCCGCCGCAGUGGAGCGCGGGAACUUAACCACUCGGGCACGGAGCCGGCCUCCUACACAGGACAGAAAAAGGGCUUCUUUUGAGGUUGGAAACAAAAGUCCUGGACAAGAGAGAGGGAAAUGGUGGAUCUGGGAAUAGCAGGUCCCUGUUCCUUCCUGGUGGAGCCCUUGGAACAGCUCCUGGAAACUUGUGAAGAAGUUAUGUGAUAACAGAAGACACCCGCCUUCCCCUGGACUACAACUCUGGAGGAAACCAAGAAAAACUUAGGUGCGAUGUCCUUUAGCUCAGUGCGAUGGGGGCUCAGACACAAAAUUACUUUUAUUUAAAGAAGCUGUGACAGAGCUGUGAUAUUCGGACACAUAAAGUUAGGGGACUAAUUGUAAAUUAGCUUACUACUUUGUGGUGGUAAUUCAGUAACCUGGGGCAAGUUUCUCAACCCCUCCAAACCUCAUGUAUCUGUAAAACAGGGACAAUAAACUAACCUUGAAGGAUUGUUUUAAGGACUAAAGUGAAGGAGCUGAUGUUUGUCAAGGACUAGUAGGGUAUCAUUAAAUGGCAUCUAUUAUUACCUUACUACUUCUACUUGUAAUAAAGUGACAAUUAUGUUUAUAUAAUAGUUUGAUAAAAGGCUUGUUUGAUCUGAUAUGAACCUCUCAUUACUAUGCUGUCACUCUGCCUGAAUACACAUUUACAUUCUCGUCAAAUUUUUAAAGCUAUAAAUACAGUUUUAUUGAGUAAGAAGCUCAUUAUUGGAGAUAAUGUCUGAAAUUUGUAAAACUGACUCAGUCUUUAAGCCAGAAACACGAGUAAUACAUGCCACUUCUUGAGGUUGCAAAGGUUUACUUACACUAAAUUCUAACUUAUUGCAUCUACAUUUCAAAUAAAUUUAUGAGAAAUUCAUUAAAAACCAUGAAAAUGUCAACAUAGAAUUUUAAUUGUUGUGCUUACUACAUACUUGAAAUGUCACAAAAUAUCAGGGUUAUAUGAGCUAAACAAAUUGAAAGCAUCUUUAGGGAAUAAACCAUUUCUAGUAUAAAGUCAUAUGUCCUGAUUCCCUUAAUGAUUUUGUUGUUCAAUAAAUGCUAAUGGAUGCAGAUACA
rnacentral:lncRNA from 1 species